rnacentral:rRNA from 1 species
GAUGAACGCUGGCGGCGUGCCUAAUACAUGCAAGUCGAGCGAACAGACGAGGAGCUUGCUCCUCUGACGUUAGCGGCGGACGGGUGAGUAACACGUGGAUAACCUACCUAUAAGACUGGGAUAACUUCGGGAAACCGGAGCUAAUACCGGAUAAUAUAUUGAACCGCAUGGUUCAAUAGUGAAAGACGGUUUUGCUGUCACUUAUAGAUGGAUCCGCGCCGCAUUAGCUAGUUGGUAAGGUAACGGCUUACCAAGGCAACGAUGCGUAGCCGACCUGAGAGGGUGAUCGGCCACACUGGAACUGAGACACGGUCCAGACUCCUACGGGAGGCAGCAGUAGGGAAUCUUCCGCAAUGGGCGAAAGCCUGACGGAGCAACGCCGCGUGAGUGAUGAAGGUCUUCGGAUCGUAAAACUCUGUUAGUAGGGAGGAACAAAUGUGAAAGUAAAUAUGCCCGUCUUGACGGUACCAAAUCAGAAAGCACCGGCUAACUACGUG